rnacentral:lncRNA from 1 species
GGGGGGGCCCAGAGGCCAAUGGAAGGGGCGGGGACAGGGCGCAUGUUCAGAUCCCCGCGGGCGGGGCCGGAGGCGGAGUCGGGAAUAGUGCGCAUGCUCCAGAGGUUGGGCGGAGUCAGUACAAGGGGGGCGGGGCUAGAGGCCAAUGGGGGCGGGACAGGGACAGGGCGCAUGCUCAGAUCCCAGUGGGCGGGGCCGGAGGCGGAGUCGGGAGCAGUGCGCAUGCUCACAGGGGGCGCACUGCGCCAGCCUGUGCCCCGCCGACACCUUCGGGCCCAACUGCUCGGAGCGCUGCUCCUGCCUGCACGCCUUCGGCUGCAGCCCCGUCGACGGCGCAUGCGUCUGCAAGGAAGGCUGGCAGGCGGGAAACUGCUCGGUGCCCUGCGCGCCGGGCACGUGGGGCUUCGGCUGCAACGCCAGCUGCCAGUGCGCGCACGGCGCCGCCUGCCGGCCGGACAGCGGCAGCUGCGCCUGCACCCCCGGCUGGCACGGACCCCGAUGCCGCCUGCCCUGCCCGGACGGCCGGCUUCGGCCCGGGCUGGCGCUAAGCGCUGCGACUGCGAGCGCGCCGCCCGGCUGCCGGCCCGCUGGACGGCCGCUGCCUCUGCCUCCCCGGAUGGACAGGUGAGCGGCCCCCGCCUCCCCGACUUCCGCCACAGAACUAACCGAGGCCCGGAGAGGGGGGGGGGGCCGGGAGCGGGAUUAGAACCCAGGGCCUUCCCACUCCCCGGCCUUAGGGUCCACCCCGGGAGGAGCCGAGGCUCGACCCCCUACACUCGUUCAUUCGGUGGUAUUUAGCGAGCGCUUCCCCGUGCAGAGCACCGUCCUGAGCGCUUCCCGUGCAGACCACUGUCCUGAGCGCUUCCUAUGUCCGGAGCACUGUCCUGAACGCUUCCCGUGUGCAGAGCACUGUCCUAAACACUUGGAGCGUACAGUUCGGCAAAAGAGACGAUCCCUGCCCAAAAACCGGCUCAGGUGCAUCAAUUCAUUCAUUCAAUAGUAUUAUUUAUUGAGCGCUUACCAUGUGCAGGGGCACCGUCCUAAGCGCUUGGAACGGACAAGUUCGGCGCAACAGAAGACGAUCCCUGCCCGUUAACCGGCUCAGGUGCAUUCAUUCGUUCAUUCAUCCCAGUAGUAUUUAUUGAGCGCUUACUAUGUGCAGGCGCACCGUCCUAAGCGCUUGGAACGGACAGCUCGGCGACGGAGACGAUCCGCUGCCCAAUAACGGGCUCAGGCGCAUUCAUUCAGGAGUAUUUACUGAGCAGCGCCUACUAUGUGCAGAGCACCGUCCCAAGCGGCUUGGAACGGACAGGUGGAGACCGUUCCCUGCCCGCCGAUCGGCUCGCGGUCGCGAAGGGGGAAGAUGGGGAUGGGGGAGCCCCCUCUCCAGCGCCCGCCGCCCCUCCCCGCCCCCCGCCGCAGGACCCCGCUGCGGGCCAGCGCUGCCCCAAGGCCUCUGGGGUCCCGGUUGCAACAGUUCCUGCACCUGCAAGAACGGGGGCACGUGCGACGCGGAAGACGGCAGCUGCGCCUGCGCCCCCGGAUUCCGGGGUUCCCUCCUGCCAGCGCGGUGAGCGACGACCCCCGUCCCCCACCCCCACGCCGGGGGGUGGGGGGGGGGGGGCGCCGCCGCCUGGCUCGGGCACCGGGCGAGCCCCUUAAACCCGAGCCCGUCGCGC